GGACUGGAGCAGACAGGCUGGGAACAGAGGCGGCCUGGGGGGAUGCUCUGCUCAGGGCGCAGGGACAUGGGGCUGUCUGCCUAGGAGGGCCGCCCUCUCUGCCUCUCCAUAUCUGCAGCCUGCCUGCCUGCCUGCCUGUCUCUCCACCCCCAGCCCCAGUGGACCAUCACUUUCUAAGGGGCAGGGGCUGGGCCAGACUUAUCUGAGCACCUCCUGCCAGGUCCCAGGUCUGCAAAUUGGAGUCAACAUCACCACGACUGGUGGAAGGCACUAAGCUCCAUCCUUCACCUGCCAAGGCUGAGCUCUGCUCUAAAGAUGCUUCACAGGAAGCAAACACCGUGAUACAGGCAUUGCCAUGUGAUUUAAGUCAGACCAGUGAGGCUCAACUGUGGGACUCUGGUUGAAACCAAGGGGAGGAUGUGAGUAGAACAGCCCGUGGCCACCUUGCCUGUCACAUGGAGAGAAUCUUACUGCAAAAAGAUGUCAUAGAAAACAGCACAGCCACAGAUGGAAAGACCAAGCCAGAUGACAUAAUUUGAAUUCCUGGAUCCAGCCCUACCUGAAGUCACAUGUGCCAAGAAUUUUCAGUAAUAUGAGCCUUUUGGGUUUUAGACCUGCAUAGUCCAACAUGGUGGCCACAAGCCCCACAUGGCUAUUUAAAUUUAACAUUUAAUUAAUUAAAAUUAAAUAAAACUUAAAACAUCCAGUUUCCCAAUUGCACUAGGCACAUUUCACAUGGUCAGUGUGUACAUGUGGCUGGUGACUACCAUAUCUGGGCAGUGCAGAAGUAGAACAUUUCUACCAUAGAGACAGAGGGAGCCAUGUUUCUGUCCUGUGUGACUAGAAAUC